ensembl:lncRNA
GUGGGAGAGAGGGAGACAGACAGGGUCUCUGAGGGAGAGAGGGAGACAGACAGGGUCUCUGAGGGAGAGAGGGAGACAGACAGGGUCUCUGAGGGAGAGAGGGAGACAGACAGGGUCUCUGAGGGAGAGAGGGAGACAGGAUCUCUGAGGGAGAGGCAGCAGAAGAAGUAGGUAUGGGGUGAGUGACGGACUGAGAGACAGUAACUAUUUGUUAGAGACAGAUUGAGAGAUAGAGCGAAGAGUCGGGAUGGUGAGAGACGGAAUGAUAGAGGAUGAAAGAAGAGAGAGAAGGUGAGAUGGACUGAGAAAAGAUCUUUGUGUGACAUAUUGGUCAAGAGAGAGAGAGACAGAAUGAUAAAGCAGGGUAGAGCAGGGUAGGAUAGAGCAGGGAAGGGUAGAGAAGGGCAGGAUAGGCAGGGCAGGAUAGAGCAGGGAAGGGUAGAGCAGGGCAGGAUAGAGCGGGGCAGGAUAGAGCAGGGCUGGAUAGAGCAGGGCAGAAUAGAGCAGGGCAGAAUAGAGCAGGGCAGGGUAGAGCAGGGCAGGGUAGCGCAGGGCAGGAUAGAACAUGGCAGGAUAGAGCAGGGCAGGAUAGAGUAGGGCAGGGUAGAGCAGGGCAGAAUAGAGCAGGGCAGGGUAGAGUAGGGCAGGGUAGAGCAGGGCAGGGUAGAGCAGGGAAGGAUAGAGCAGGGCAGGGUAGAGCAGGGCAGAAUAGAGCAGGGCAGGGUAGAGCAGGGCAGGAUAGAGCAGGGCAGGGUAGAGCAGGGCAGAAUAGAGCAGGGCAGGGUAGGGUAGGGCAGGGUAGAGCAGGGCAGGAUAGAGCAGGGCAGGGUAGAGCAUGGCAGGAUAGAGCAUUUCAGGAUAGAGCAGGGCAGGGUAGAGCAGGGCAGGAUAGAGCAUGGAAUAGAGCAGGGCAGGGUAGAGCAGGGCAGGAUAGAGCAGGGCAGGGUAGAGCAUGGCAGGGAUAGAGCAUUUCAGGAUAGAGCAGGGCAGGGUAGAGCAGGGCAGAAUAGAGCAGGGCAGAGUAGAGCAGGGCAGGGGAUAGAGCAGGGCAGGAUAGAGCAGGGAAGGAUAGAGCAGGGCAGGGUAGAGCAGGGCAGGGUAGAGUAGGGCAGGGUAGAGCAGGGCAGGAUAGAGCAGGGCAGGGUAGAGCAGGGCAGGGUAGAGCAGGGCAGGGUAGAGCAGGGCAGGGUAGAGCAGGGCAGGGUAGAGCAGGGCAGGGUAGAGUAGGGCAGGGUAGAGCAGGGCAGAAUAGAGCAGGGCAGGGUAGAGUAGGGCAGGGUAGAGCAGGGCAGGGUAGAGCAGGGCAGGGUAGAGCAGGGCAGGAGCAGGGCAGGGUAGGGGGCAGGGUAGAGCAGGGCAGGUUAGAGCAGGGCAGAAUAGAGCAGGGCAGGGUAGAGUAGGGCAGGGUAGAGCAGGGCAGGAUAGAGCAGGGCAUGGUAGAGCAGGGCAGAAUAGAGCAGGGCAGGGUAGCAUAGGGCAGGGUAGAGCAGGGCAGGGUAGAGCAGGGAAGGAUAGAGUAGGGCAGGGUAGAGCAGGGCAGAAUAGAGCAGGGCAGGGUAGAGCAGGGCAGGGUAGAGCAGGGCAGGGUAGAGCAGGGCAGGAUAGAGCAGGGCAG